UUAUAUACGACCGUACCGCAAACCGACACUGGUGCGCGAGAUGAGUAUUCUAAGGCGCUUGAGAGAACUCAGGAGAAGGAACUCGGCAAAUUGACACCGUAACUUCGGAAGAAGGUGUGCCCUAUUAGUGAGUAGUGAACAACGAAGCAUGAAUGGGUUGCAAAAAAUCGGUGGCUGCGACUGUUUAUUAAAAACACAGCACUCUGCAAACACGAAAGUGGACGUAUAGGGUGUGACGCCUGCCCGGUGCUGGAAGAUUAAAUGAUGGGGUGCAAGCUCUUGAUUGAAGUCCCAGUAAACGGCGGCCGUAACGAUAACGGUCCUAAGGUAGCGAAAUUCCUUGUCGGGUAAGUUCCGACCUGCACGAAUGGCGUAACGAUGGCCACACUGUCUCCUCCUGAGACUCAGCGAAGUUGAAAUGUUUGUGAUGAUGCAAUCUCCCCGCGGAAAGACGGAAAGACCCCAUGAACCUUUACUGUAGCUUUGUGUUGGACUUUGAACAGAUCUGUGUAGGAUAGGUGGGAGGCUUUGAAGCAGGGUCGCUAGAUCUUGUGGAGCCAACGUUGAAAUACCACCCUGGUGUGUUUGAGGUUCUAACCUAGGUCCAUUAUCUGGAUCGGGGACAGUGCAUGGUAGGCAGUUUGACUGGGGCGGUCUCCUCCCAAAGCGUAACGGAGGAGUUCGAAGGUACGCUAGUUACGGUCGGACAUCGUGACGAUAGUGCAAUGGCAUAAGCGUGCUUAACUGCGAGACUGACAAGUCGAGCAGAUGCGAAAGCAGGACAUAGUGAUCCGGUGGUUCUGUAUGGAAGGGCCAUCGCUCAACGGAUAAAAGGUACUCUGGGGAUAACAGGCUGAUACCGCCCAAGGGUUCAUAUCGACGGCGGUGUUUGGCACCUCGAUGUCGGCUCAUCUCAUCCUGGGGCUGUAGCCGGUCCCAAGGGUAUGGCUGUUCGCCAUUUAAAGAGGUACGUGAGCUGGGUUUAAAACGUCGUGAGACAGUUUGGUCCCUAUCUUCCGUGGGCGCUGCAGAUUUGAGGAAGCCUGCUCCUAGUACGAGAGGACCGGAGUGGACACACCUCUGGUGUAUCGGUUGUCACGCCAGUGGCAUUGCCGAGUAGCUAAGUGUGGAAGAGAUAACCGCUGAAAGCAUCUAAGCGGGAAACUCGUUUCAAGAUGAGAUCUGCCGGGGCCUUGAGCCCCCUAAAGAGUCGUUCAAGACCAGGACGUUGAUAGGUCAGGUGUGGAAGCCAAAAAA
rnacentral:rRNA from 1 species